rnacentral:rRNA from 1 species
UAACACACCGAAAGGUGUACUAAUACCGCAUAAGACCACGGGAUCACAUGGUUCUGAGGUAAAAGAUUUAUCGGUUUGGGGUGGGCUCGCGUCCGAUUAGGUAGUUGGUGAGGUAACGGCCCACCAAGCCGACGAUCGGUAGCCGACCUGAGAGGGUGAUCGGCCACAUUGGGACUGAGACACGGCCCAAACUCCUACGGGAGGCAGCAGUGGGGAAUAUUGGGCAAUGGAGGAAACUCUGACCCAGCAACGCCGCGUGGAGGAAGAAGGUUUUCGGAUCGUAAACUCCUGUCCUUGGAGACGAGUAGAAGACGGUAUCCAAGGAGGAAGCCCCGGCUAACUACGUGCCAGCAGCCGCGGUAAUACGUAGGGGGCAAGCGUUGUCCGGAAUAAUUGGGCGUAAAGGGCGCGUAGGCGGCUCGGUAAGUCUGGAGUGAAAGUCCUGCUUUUAAGGUGGGAAUUGCUUUGGAUACUGUCGGGCUUGAGUGCAGGAGAGGUUAGUGGAAUUCCCAGUGUAGCGGUGAAAUGCGUAGAGAUUGGGAGGAACACCAGUGGCGAAGGCGACUAACUGGACUGUAACUGACGCUGAGGCGCGAAAGUGUGGGGAGCAAACAGGAUUAGAUACCCUGGUAGUCCACACUGU